UGAGACUGCCUGAAGUGAUAGAUGAAU
rnacentral:piRNA from 1 species